AUUGAACGCUGGCGGCAGGCCUAACACAUGCAAGUCGAGCGGAUGAAGGGAGCUUGCUCCUGGAUUCAGCGGCGGACGGGUGAGUAAUGCCUAGGAAUCUGCCUGGUAGUGGGGGAUAACGUCCGGAAACGGGCGCUAAUACCGCAUACGUCCUGCGGGAGAAAGUGGGGGAUCUUCGGACCUCACGCUAUCAGAUGAGCCUAGGUCGGAUUAGCUAGUUGGUGGGGUAAAGGCCUACCAAGGCGACGAUCCGUAACUGGUCUGAGAGGAUGAUCAGUCACACUAGAACUGAGACACGGUCCAGACUCCUACGGGAGGCAGCAGUGGGGAAUAUUGGACAAUGGGCGAAAGCCUGAUCCAGCCAUGCCGCGUGUGUUAAGAAAGUCUUCGGAUUGUAAAGCACUUUAAGUUGGGAGGAAGGGCAGUAAGUUAAUACCUUGCUGUUUUGACGUUACCAACAGAAUAAGCACCGGCUAACUUCGUG
rnacentral:rRNA from 1 species